rnacentral:rRNA from 1 species
CCUACGGGAGGCAGCAGUGAGGAAUAUUGGUCAAUGGUCGGGAGACUGAACCAGCCAAGCCGCGUGAGGGAUGAAGGUACAGAGUAUCGUAAACCUCUUUUGUCAGGGAACAAAGGCGGGGACGUGUCCCCGGAUGAGUGUACCUGAAGAAAAAGCAUCGGUUAACUCCGUGCCAGCAGCCGCGGUAAUACGGUGGAUGCGAGCGUUAUCGGGAUUUAUUGGGUUUAAAGGGUGGGCAGGCGGUCUGUUCAGUCAGCGGUCAAAGCCCGGGGCUCAACCCCGGCCCGCCGUUGAAACUGGGGAGCUUGAGUGGGCGAGAAGUAUGCGGAAUGCGUGGUGUAGCGGUGAAAUGCAUAGAUAUCACGCAGAACUCCGAUUGCGAAGGCAGCAUACCGGCGCCCGACUGACGCUGAGGCACGAAAGCGUGGGGAUCGAACAGGAUUAGAUACCCUUGUAGUC